rnacentral:rRNA from 1 species
UACGGAGGGUGCGAGCGUUAAUCGGAAUUACUGGGCGUAAAGGGUGCGUAGGUGGUUUGAUAAGUUAUCUGUGAAAUUCCUGGGCUUAACCUGGGACGGUCAGAUGAUACUGUUAGACUCGAGUAUGGGAGAGGGUAGUGGAAUUUCCGGUGUAGCGGUGAAAUGCGUAGAGAUCGGAAGGAACACCAGUGGCGAAGGCGGCUACCUGGCCUAAUACUGACACUGAGGCACGAAAGCGUGGGGAGCAAACAGG